rnacentral:lncRNA from 1 species
CAGGACUUCCCGUUUCCUGAAUCUGCUGCUAUGUUUGUGGAGUUUAAAUAUUGUCCAGAUCAAGACUCUAUGGAGAAAUGUGGUCUGAUCCUUAUAAUUAGCAAUGAAAAGACUACAACUGAAAUCCCUGGAAUUCUGGAUAAGAGCCUCUGUCAACCCAUUCUUCUCUCCUUUCAAGGGUAUGAAGACACCUAGAAGCAGCUAGAGAGCAGCAAGUAAACCAAGAGAUAGGGUCCCAAAAAGCAAGAUGCAGCAGAGAAGAAGCACUCGCGUUGUGCGAGAGCAGUCUUGCAAGGUGGAGCGCGAUCCCGGAAGGUUUAUAUGCAGUCUCGUCUUUCCGAACAGCUGCCGCAGCAGAUCUCCCAUGGCAGAGAGGGGCCUAGAUCGAGUCAGCACCAAGACAGAAGUCCUCAGACUGGACACAGAAAUGCUCCAACCAAUGUGUGGCAAAGACAGAGUCUGGGAUGCAAAAUCAUCUCUGGUCAAGGAAGAGAGAAGUAAUACCGCCAGAACUGGCAGGUCAUCGUUGAAGAAUAAUCAAAGUCAGUGGCCACUUCAGCAUAUAAAGAGCUUACAAGCCUGAGGAAUUUCAGCCUGAAACACGACGGUAUGCCAGUGACUUAUGAGCAGCUAAAAAGGGAGGUUUGUUAUGAAAACAUGUAGGAACCUGAACAAUCACUGGAUCAGGUGGAUCUGUUAUGUCUCCAGCCACAUCUUCUUGUAUUGCGCUCCUCAGCGGUCACAGCAACUCGGGCAGCCAGGAUCAGGACAGCAGGAUAAAUGAGUGCUGUCUCCUGCCCUGACAUCACGUUUAGCAAAGCAAAAAAGAGAAAUUUUAGCUGACUUGUAUUACUCCACACACUUAAGUGCUGAAUUAAAGCUUGUUAGUGCUGUCUGUCUUUGGGUCUGCAAAUCCUUUGCCUAAAUGAUGAUCCUCUUCUUCCCCCUGCUUAUAAUGGGCUGCAGUUACCUGGAGGCAGAUAUGUGCCAGAAGCCUACAGGAGAUAAACUAGUAAAGGUAGAGCCCCAGUGAAAUCUGAAUGAAAUGAGACUGAAGCAAAGAAUUCAGGAUCAAACUUAUUGUUCUAAGAGGACAUGGAAUAGGAUGGAAGGAAUCGUCAUCUGGAUGUUGCCCACAGAUCCUCCUAGAGACAUGUCUGAACAAGCCUAGAAAACUAAUUACCUUUGAUUAUCUAAAGGUCAAGAAUACAAUAGUAGGGGAAAUUGAACGUAUUACAUCAAGUGUAAAAUGUUUUAGAAGUACUUAUGGUUAUUGUAUACAUGGUAUAAAUAUUCACUAAUGGUUUCUGAAAAGGUGGGA